UAAGGAAUAUUGGUCAAUGGACGCAAGUCUGAACCAGCCAUGCCGCGUGAAGGAUGAAGGUCCUCUGGAUUGUAAACUUCUUUUAUCUGGGACGAAAACGGGAUUUUUAUCUCAAUUGACGGUACCAGAGGAAUAAGCACCGGCUAACUCCGUGCCAGCAGCCGCGGUAAUACGGAGGGUGCGAGCGUUAUCCGGAUUUACUGGGUUUAAAGGGUGCGUAGGUGGGCUUAUAAGUCAGUGGUGAAAUCUCCGUGCUUAACUUGGAAACUGCCGUUGAUACUAUAGGUCUUGAAUUAUCUGGAGGUAAGCGGAAUAUGUCAUGUAGCGGUGAAAUGCUUAGAUAUGACAUAGAACACCAAUUGCGAAGGCAGCUUACUACAUAUAAAUUGACGCUGAGGCACGAAAGCGUGGGGAUCAAACA
rnacentral:rRNA from 1 species